rnacentral:lncRNA from 10 species
UGGCACCACUGGGUCCAGCUGGUGUCAUAAUGCUGCAGUCAACUGAGUCAACAUGAGAGUCCUCUCUGGCUCUGAGCCUGUCCUCACUGGCUGCUUCACGUCCCUCUCUAUGCUGCCAUCUCAAGUUUUUAUGGCUCAGAGAGUUCCUGUCACUUCCCUGCUGAAUUCCUGUGUUCUUCCUUAGAAACUCUAUUCUAUUUUUGAUUAUCUACUGGCUGUUUUGUUUCUUCUUCGUGGAGAAGGAACCAUUUUCUUUAAUGAAAGAUAUUGGGUGGAGAUAGAAUUAGGUAAUUUGAAGGUAGCAGUAUUUCUCUGAAUUCUAGGAAUGCUCAAGGAAUGCGAAAACAUCAUGUUCCAGGGACAGUCUUCAUUUGCGCUAGACAAAAGACAAACAAUCCUUCCUUGAAUGGACCCACUCUUCUUUUUUCACUCAUCUCCUCUCACUGAUCUCCCUGCUGGUGGUGGCGGAUAGAAGGCAGAGAUGUGGUCAACACCAAAUGAGAUUAUGUUCUGGGAAUUCAGAGAUUACAGUCUGAAGAAUUCAAGAUAAGGUAUGACCUCCAUAAAGAACCUUCAUAUCAUCUUGCCCUGCAUGAAAUAUAUUAGAAGCCUUUGCUCUGGUCUUUCAUGGUACUUUUAAAGGAUAUUAUCAUUUACAAAAUGGAAUACCAAUGACUUUUCACAAGUGGUCUAUCAACUAAGCAUGUACUUAAGUAAAUAUUUUCAGAGGAUUUCAUUAACCUCUGAGUGAAUAGUUGAAAAAAAAGAAUGAAACAGAUAUAAGUCCAUGUUUUUAUUUGUAAAUAAAUGUAUUGCCAAAAUUACAUACAAAUAACAAAUAAUGUCUCGAGUGACAUGCAAUGAUCAAAAUCCUCAAAAGAAUACUUUUGUUUAGUAGAGAUUUGAACAAAUAAACUACAAUUUAAGGAGACUGUUGUAUUUCUUUUGAGAUAACCCCAUAAGUUUUACAUUCUGUAUCAAGGCAUCCAUUUGCAGUAAUAAAGAUUCAAGGCUUAUCCCUAAAAGGCAAUGCCCAUUCUUUAUAGUCAAUAUGAUCCUGCUAGCACAUAAAGCCUGAAGAAAUAACAGAUACUAGAUUUAAAACCACUUUACUAAAAUUAAUCCAUGGUGAUGAUAUGGAAGAAAACCACAGGAGUCUUGAGAAAAUAAACUAGCUGCUGUCUGGUUGAUACCAGAAAUAGAGAUUGGUAUAAGGAAAAAAUUAAAAGAAAGAAGUAUCACAAAUAAGAAUGAUUGAUACUUAUUAGAAACAUAUCUGGAAAUAGAUGAUUAGGAAUAUUAAAAAUAAAAAUGAAGAGGUAUAUAUGAUGCCACUGAAGAAACAAGCAAAAUUCAAAUGAAUAAAAGGUAAACAAGAAAUCAGGAAAUAAAAAAAGUCCAAUAAAAUCUGAAAAGGGAAAGAAGGCACAAAGUAAGUAUCAAUAAAGAAACCACAAUAUCAUUACUGCAAAGUCAGAGGUCAAAACAUCAUAGCUAUAGAAACCUUAAAGAGACUUUUUAAAAUAUAUCAUUUCUAAGAGGCCAUAAUAUACAAUAAGUUACAAAUAUAAAAAUGUUUUAAUAUUUACAAUUUAACGUACAUGUAGACAAUAAAGUUAUGGGAAAAGAAACAAAAGACAACAAAAGUAACAUCCCUACUUAUGUACACUCACUAUGCUUUCACGGUACAUACUUUUACUUUCCAAACCCUAACAAUUAUAUAGCAUUUCACACAAUAAAAUUUUAUAUAGCAUAUCUGAAUUACUUCAAAGCUUAAUGCGGAUUUAAAUAAUAAAACUUUACUAUUUUGAUCAUAAAUUAAGCAAAUGAGACUAAAAUGACAUUUUUUAUUUUCAACUUAAUGGUUAUUUAAUAAUCACUGCACUCCUUGGGGAUGUUAACAUUGUAGAACUCGACAAAUUAACAAGAUAGUUCUAGGUUGACUCUAUUUUCUCUUAAAUAUUAAAUUUAUGAUUUGCUAAAAAAAAAAAAAAACCUCUAAUAAGGACACAGAACUUAUAGUUUGCCAGUUUGUGUUACAAGAACUUUCUACACUGAGGAAGAUAUGAACACUAGUUAUCACACUCCAAACACUCUGCUUCCUGCACAUACCAUCUCCUGCAUUGCCUAUUUUUUCUAGCAAAGCACUUAGUAAUCACUUGUAUAUGUUUAAUUGUGGAAGUCUUAAAGCUGUAAUAAUUUAUAUUGUGUAAAAUAGAAAGGACGUGAAUUCAGUACAUCAGGGAUGGAAAAUAUGCUCUUACUCAUUCUCCUGUGGCUGAAGUAGAAAUCAGUAGUAUGUAUGUAAACCUUUUUUUCCUGAGCCUCAAAAUUCCUCUCAAUGCUCAGUUCCAGGCAGCCAUUACCAAUUGCUAAGAGUUAGCAUAUGGGUGAAAAUUGAUUUGACAUCUCUAGUUAGAAUAUGAAAUGCUGGCGUAUAAAUUAUAGGUCAAGAGAUCACAGGUAUCUGGAUAAGCAAUAUCAUUCAGUUACAAAAAAAAAUUGGUGUGCAGGGUUAAUAUGAAAUCUGAGAACUAUGUAAACCAUUUCUCAGAGAUUAAAGCCAUGAUAUAGUUACAAUGUAGCCAAAACUGGCUGUGGAACAUAGAGAACUCGUAAGUGUUACUGUCUUAGAUAGCUGGAACGAUCACUGAGACUACUCUUUUAUAUGUUAACUUGUUUACUGCUCACAGCAAACUUAUAUGUUGAGUACUAUGAUUAUCAUCUACCUAUCCUCAAUUAAAACACAUGUACCCUAAAACUUAAAGUAUAAUAAUAAUAAAAUAAAAACAAAACAAACAAAAAGAAAACAAAGAGAUCUUAUUAUCAUCCCCAAGUUAAACUGCAUAACAAAAGGUAGAGGUGGGAUUUUUAACUAAUUUAUCUUCAGAGUAAGUGUCUCUACUAACUUCUAUACUUUCUGUUGCCUAUGCAAGUCUGUUAUAGAAAUCAAAUAAGAACAUGUGGGUAAAAGUGAGUUUAAACCACUAGCAGAUGUAAGGAGUUGAUAUUAAUAAUGAAUCCAUGAAACAUGCAGGGGGGUUAAAGGUUGGGUUUGCAAAUAAGAGGUUUGUGUUUGUUUGUUGUUGUUCUUUUUUUUGAGAUAGAGUCUCGCUGUAUCACCAGGCUGGAGUGCAGUGGUGCGAUACCAGCUUACUGCAACCUCGUCCUCCCGGGUUCAUGCCAUUCUCCUGCGUCAGCCUCUUGAGUAGCUGGGACUACAGGUGCGUGCCACCAUGCCUGGCUAAUUUUUUGUAUUUAUUGUAGAGACAGGAUUUAACCACGUUAGCCAAGUUGAUCUUGAUCUCCUGACUUUGUGAUCCACCCACCUUGGCCUCCCAAAGUGCUGGGAUUACAGGUAUGAGCCAUGGCACUUGGCCUUUUGUUUUGCUUUGUUUUG